rnacentral:rRNA from 1 species
CGUAUGCGGCUUGGCAAGUAGGAUGUGAAAGCCCUAGGCUCAACCCAGGAUGUGCAUUCAAAACUGCCUGGCUUGAAUCUCGGAGGGUGUCAGGGAAUUCCCGGUGUAGAGGUGAAAUUCGUAGAUAUCGGGAGGAACACCAGUGGCGAAGGCGCUGACCUGGACGAUGAUUGACGCUGAGGCGCGAAAGCGUGGGGAGCAAACAG